rnacentral:rRNA from 1 species
GAUGAACGCUGGCGGCGUGCUUAACACAUGCAAGUCGAACGGUAACAGGUCUUCGGACGCUGACGAGUGGCGAACGGGUGAGUAAUACAUCGGAACGUGCCCAGUCGUGGGGGAUAACUACUCGAAAGAGUAGCUAAUACCGCAUACGAUCUGAGGAUGAAAGCGGGGGACCUUCGGGCCUCGCGCGAUUGGAGCGGCCGAUGGCAGAUUAGGUAGUUGGUGGGAUAACGGCCUACCAAGUCGACGAUCCAUAGCCGGACUGAGAGGUUGAACGGCCACAUUGGGACUGAGACACGGCCCAG